GACGAACGCUGGCGGCGUGCUUAACACAUGCAAGUCGAACGGAAAGGCCCUGCUUGCAGGGUACUCGAGUGGUGAACGGGUGAGUAACACGUGGGUGAUCUGCCCUGCACUUCGGGAUAAGCUUGGGAAACUGGGUCUAAUACCGGAUAGGAGCCAUCUUUAGUGUGGUGGUUGGAAAGUUUUUUCGGUGUAGGAUGAGCUCGCGGCCUAUCAGCUUGUUGGUGGGGUAAUGGCCUACCAAGGCGGCGACGGGUAGCCGGCCUGAGAGGGUGUACGGCCACAUUGGGACUGAGAUACGGCCCAGACUCCUACGGGAGGCAGCAGUGGGGAAUAUUGCACAAUGGGCGCAAGCCUGAUGCAGCGACGCCGCGUGGGGGAUGGAGGCCUUCGGGUUGUAAACUCCUUUCGCUAGGGACGAAGCUUUGUUGUGACGGUACCUAGAUAAGAAGCACCGGCUAACUACGUG
rnacentral:rRNA from 1 species